GGCCCAGACUCCUACGGGAGGCAGCAGUGGGGAAUAUUGGGCAAUGGGCGCAAGCCUGACCCAGCAAUGCCGCGUGAAGGAAGAAGGCUUUCGGGUUGUAAACUUCUUUGACAGGGGAAGAGCAGAAGACGGUACCCUGAAAACAAGCCACGGCUAACUACGUGCCAGCAGCCGCGGUAAUACGUAGGGGGCAAGCGUUAUCCGGAUUUACUGGGUGUAAAGGGGGCGCAGACGGCAGCGCAAGCCAGGAGUGAAAGCCCGGGGCCCAACCCCGGGACUGCUCUUGGAACUGCGCGGCUGGAGUGCAGGAGGGGCAGGCGGAAUUCCUGGUGUAGCGGUGAAAUGCGUAGAUAUCAGGAGGAACACCGGUGGCGAAGGCGGCCUGCUGGACUGCGACUGACGUUGAGGCCCGAAAGCGUGGGGAGCAAACAGGAUUAGAUACCCCCGUAC
rnacentral:rRNA from 1 species